UUCAAAGCUGGGAAAGGCCGUUGCAGGAACCAGCCGGCAGCGUGAGCUGAGUGCAGAGUUCAAAAGGAUUGUCACCAAAGACCUGAUGGAGCCUUUUCUGGAUGGACUAGAUGCCAUGAUGCCAAGGCUUUUGGAGCUGUACAAAGCGGCUGUUGCAUUGAGCAGGAGGUUGACCUUGAGCAGUGUUCUGCAGUGUCUUCAAAAGGAGGUAAUAGGAAGUGUCACAGGGCAAAUUAAGCAGCUGAGACGAGGUCUUAAAGAAACCCCAAUGUGGACACUGGUGACCCAAAGACCUGACACAGUGGCCUUGCUUUUUCCGAAAGAGGGAGCAGGACAUUUCUGCCCUGAGGUACUUCCACAUGGCCUCGUGAGGAUAGUGACGAUUUUUCAGUUGACACCAAAUGCCGCAUACCAGGCUAUCUUCGACAGUUCAUUGCUAAUGCAACACCAACUGAACUGACCGAACUGGUCAAAUUCUGGACCGGACGGAAGAUUCUACCACCGAGUCUCUCUGUAGAAGAGGUCGAGGGCAGAUACCCCACAGCCUCCACUUGCUUUGAGACCUUGCGCAUCCCAGGGCAUUACAAGGAUUACACAUCUUUUAAAUGUGACAUCCUGGCCUGUAUUGACAGUUGCCUUAUAGGAUUUGGUCUUGUGUGAGUGACAUUUGGCUUGUAUUUACCCUUGUAAGACAAUAUUUGAUGUUAAAAUGUUUUUAAGCUUGUUAGUUGUUCUGUUAAAAGACCUGUUGUAAACUCUCACGCUCAAAGAAAACAUUCAGGAAGUUGUUAAUGUAUACUGAAUAUAUUUUCACACUGUUACUGAGAGUACUUUGCAGUAACCUUUGGCAAUAAAUGGUCAGUUCAUUGAGGUAAACUUCUCUGACUCUGAACUCCUGUGAAGCCCUCGUAUAACCACUGAAAAGCAAUAUUUUGCCCCCCCAAUAUCCAUCUCAGGUUUGGGAAUAAACCUCAAUGUUCAAAAUAAUUCAUAGCUUUUUCCUGGUUCAUGAUGCUUUCACACGGUGUAAAGGGGGCCGGAUAGCGAAAGAGAAGUGCAAUAAAAAUGAGAAAAGGUUAUUAAACGAUAACAACACUUGUUUUUCUCACCUUCCAGGCAGCCAUUGAUUUUUCUUUGACAAUUUAGUACACUAUAAACUUCAGACCUAACCUGUUUGAGUUAAGUAAUCAAUCAUAAAAUGGCUAGACUGUUAAGCAGUUGAUAUACCUUUUCAUUCAUGUUAUUUUAAUAGGUUUACGUAACUUGUCAUAAAUGGAAUUAUUUGGUGAUUAUCUAGGCGUAGAUCUUUUUGAAACAGAUCACCCUACUUAAACCAGUGAGAAGAAAAAUGUGAUAACCAAAAUUGUUUUACCCGUGUCAGAAAAUGUUUUUCAUGUAGAAUAAAAUGUCUUUAAAGAAGUUAUAAUUGUUGACAAAUAAAUGAAUACACUUAUGGUCCUUAUAACUGCAUCCGUAAUAAAUUGUUUAUAUGCUGAUUAUACACGAUAAAUAGGGGGACUUAAGUGUUACUGAGAAAAUUGUAACAAUUAGGGUCAUCUGUCAAUCUCAGC